GUUCUAAAUCAAGCAUGAGCUGUACCAGCUGUAGCAGGUAUUUGCAUGCCAGAUGAAUCUCCCAAACGUUUCUGUGCUGACCUUUGGCUAUCAUUUCUGGGAAUGGUGAAGCUAUGUACAGCAGGUAGGAGAAACAAAAGAUGCAAAGAUCAGCCAGAACAGCUGAGUAAGCAGAACCAAACUAACAAAAUUGCCUUCUUCCAAGGUAAAAAGCAUUCUGUAGCUUGACUGUUGCCAGUUCCUUAGCUGGGUCUGGGCUAUACCCACAACGGAUCACCUUGCUUGAAGAAGUUUUCAUGGAAAGACCAGCCAAUACGCACCAAAGACUUUAGGGUGAGUUUAGUCUUUUUCAAUGGCCCCAUGCACAUCUUCUGCAAUCUUCGUCACACAACAAUAGGUGACUGGUCUCUCAAGGACUGCAUGAUUCGUGGUAGUGUUUGUUUAAUUGAAUGUAGCUCCUCUUUUACUGCCUGAGAGGCCAGCUGAUCUUUUACAAAAGGGUAAACAUAUUCCUAAACAAAGGAAGUCAUUUUAAAAGAAGAAAAGAUCUGUCUGCAGGUAUGUGAGUACGGAGAAAAGAAAUGCGAAGGGCAGAGAAAAACAGUGGAAAUGGGGGGGUUAAAGGUUUAAAGUUAAAAAUCUGAAAAGAAAGGCCAUGUGGCAUCAGAGGCAGCAUAUCCAGAAGCAAGGAGACAUAACGGGAAGAAAUACAGGAAAGAGAGGUAGCACAUACAAAACAAGGCACAGGAAAGUUAUGAAAACAAACCUGCAGUUUGCAGAAUGAUUGCGAGACUGCUGUGUCGUACAGCCGCCAGUAGAGGUGCUAAAGCCACAGCUAUAGAACUUAGUGGCAAAGUGCUCAGGGGAAGAAAUAAAUCCUGAACUGAGAUAGAUUGAACGUUUCAAGAAAUGAACAGUGGUGCAAUGCAGCUCUUUGAGGGUAAUCAGCGCAGACGUGAAUUUUUAAACUUCUCUGUAGGUGAAAACAAAAAUGCAGCCAGCAAGAGGCAGAAGGGGUUCCCCACAAAAGAACAAAGGGAACAGCAUGGGAACAGCAGAAAAUUCCUAUGGAAACGCUGUAACCUGCAAACAAUGAGAGCAGGUACCAGUGUGCAGCUGGGGCACAAUAAAACCCUCUACAAGCUGAGCCAAGAAUAAGCUUCUUAAAAAGUGCUAUACUUUGCUACUUAGAAAUGUUGCUCUUGUCCAAGUGUUUUGUAUUUGCCUCAGUGCAGUUCUUUUUUUUUUUUCUUUUUCUUUUAACUAAUUAGAGGUUUGUUAUAAACCAAAGGGGAUUUCUGGG
ensembl:lncRNA